rnacentral:tRNA from 1 species
CGGGAAGUAGCUCAGCUUGGUAGAGCACUUGGUUUGGGCCCAAGGGGUCGCAGGUUCGAAUCCUGUCUUCCCGA